AACGAACGCUGGCGGCAGGCCUAACACAUGUAAGUCGAGCGAACCCUUCGGGGUUAGCGGCGGACGGGUUAGUAACGCGUGGGAAUAUACCCUUUGGUACGGAAUAGCCUCGGGAAACUGAGAGUAAUACCGUAUGUGCCCUUCGGGGGAAAGAUUUAUCGCCAAAGGAUUAGCCCGCGUUGGAUUAGAUAGUUGGUGGGGUAAUGGCCUACCAAGUCUACGAUCCAUAGCUGGUUUGAGAGGAUGAUCAGCAACACUGGGACUGAGACACGGCCCAGACUCCUACGGGAGGCAGCAGUGGGGAAUCUUAGACAAUGGGCGCAAGCCUGAUCUAGCCAUGCCGCGUGGACGAUGAAGGCCUUAGGGUUGUAAAGUCCUUUCAGAUGGGAAGAUAAUGACGGUACCAUCAGAAGAAGCCCGGCUAACUCCGUG
rnacentral:rRNA from 1 species